GGUCCUGAGGGCCCUCGUGACGGCCGUCCAGGCCUGCAGCUGACCCGUGGAGGGGUCUGAAGGUGGCAGGUAGCCAUACUUUGUCAACCAGUUCUGCAAAAAUGAGAGUUUUCAUGGAUUCAUUUACCACCAGCAUGGUGCUGCCGUCCUCAGUGGGCUUCAGCGCCUCAGAGGGGGUCGUCGGGGUCACGCCAGCAGAAGAGGCUGCUUUCAUCAAUCCAUUGUUCAGGAAGAGGAAAAUAAUCCACAGCUUCAUCUUGGCUGCAUGUUGUUGGGACACAAAGCUUUAUUCUUCUCUGUGCAUGAAAAUCCACAUCUGGAGUGUAAGCUGACCCUCCAUCCUGCUCGAAAGCAAAGCAGUUUAAUUUGUUGACCUUUAUUCAACAAGAAGUUAACCUCGAAGAUUUAAAACCUCAUUCUGUGGAGUGAACCGUUUCAGACAGCAGCUCACAAACAGGAAUUUGUCCAGAUUUGGAUUUUUUUUAAAUGUGGCCGUCCAAUUUAAAAACAUUUUAAAUUCACAAUACGGUCGAGGAGUGUUUGACAGGAUUUCCAGUUGUUCUCAAAUUACUCGUCAGAUCUUGCUCUGAUGUCUUUUUGUCGAAAAGUGCUAAAAUGAGAUUAAAUUCCAAACUAAGGUU